GUUGCAUAUGUUGUUCAGUAACACUGAUAGUUUGGCGAGUUGGUAUGGGUUCAUGAUUGAAACUCGGCGCAACGGACACGAUAUAC
rnacentral:lncRNA from 1 species